rnacentral:rRNA from 1 species
CCUACGGGUGGCAGCAGUCGAGAAUCAUUCACAAUGGGGGAAACCCUGAUGGUGCGACGCCGCGUGGGGGAAUGAAGGUCUUCGGAUUGUAAACCCCUGUCAUGUGGGAGCAAAUUAAAAAGAUAGUACCACAAGAGGAAGAGACGGCUAACUCUGUGCCAGCAGCCGCGGUAAUACAGAGGUCUCAAGCGUUGUUCGGAAUCACUGGGCGUAAGGCGUGCGUAGGCUGUUUCGUAAGUCGUGUGUGAAAGGCGCGGGCUCAACCCGCGGACGGCACAUGAUACUCCGAGACUAGAGUAAUGGAGGGGGAACCGGAAUUCUCGGUGUAGCAGUGAAAUGCGUAGAUAUCGAGAGGAACACUCGUGGCGAAGGCGGGUUCCUGGACAUUAACUGACGCUGAGGCACGAAGGCCAGGGGAGCGAAAGGGAUUAGAUACCCCAGUAGUC